rnacentral:rRNA from 1 species
CAUCACUACGCUAGAUGCAUAUCAAUAAGCGGAGGAAAAGAAACUAACAAGGAUUCCCCUAGUAACGGCGAGUGAAGCGGGAAGAGCUCAAAUUUGAAAUCUUAAAGGGUUUCCCUUUACGAAUUGUAGUUUAAAGAAGUGUUUUCUGUUGGAGUUUCGGUAAAAGUUCUUUGGAAUAGGACAUCAUAGAGGGUGAGAAUCCCGUAUUUGACCGUUACUUUCCAGCUGUGUGAUACACUUUCAAAGAGUCGGAUUGUUUGGGAAUGCAGUCCAAGAUGGGUGGUAAAUUUCAUCUAAAGCUAAAUAUUGGCGAGAGACCGAUAGCGAACAAGUACCGUGAGGGAAAGAUGAAAAGAACUUUGAAAAGAGAGUUAAACAGUACGUGAAAUUGUCAAAAGGGAAGCGUUUGACACCUGUGUUGUUUAGUUGAAAAUCAGUUCAAUAAUUUUUGAUUUUAAGUAGUAUUGACUUCAUCAGCUUGCUGCUUUCUUUUCGGAAAUUAUUGAAUGCACUUUUCAGUUAACAAGUCAACAUCAAUUUCUUUUGUUGUAAAAGGGUAAGAGGAAGGUGGCUUACGCUUCGGCGUAAGUGUUUAUAGCCUUUUACCUCUGCAAUCGGAGAGAUUGAGGACAGCAGCGUAGACUCCUUCGGGGGUUAGAUACACUUGUGCUAAGCUAUAGCCUUGUAUAGACAACUUGUUGACUAUGCUCAGUCAUGUAGCUUACUCGCUUGAUGCUAUUUUACCUACGCUUAGGAUGUUGACACACGCGCGUGCUCG